UCAAAGCGAUCUGCCCCGCUUCUGCUCCUGAAGUGCUAGGAUUACUAGCCCGCACCACUGCAACUGUAAAAUCUUAUUUCCACGCAGCUGAGAGAGUGUUUUAGGAAGUGUUUUAGGAAGUUUGCUAAAAGACCCUUGGAGACCUCCUCAUUGUGGCCUCCCUGCUGUUGUGUUUAAUUUGAUUGAUCUUUUCUGCCCUCUUGCUUUUCAGAAAUUAAAAGGCUAAAAAGAGGUACUAAACUUUAAAACUUCUCUUAUAGUCUCCCAUUAAAGUAAUUGUAAGAACUACCAAAAAGGGAAAAAAAUUUUUUGAAAGCAGUAAAAUGAUAUGGUCUGUUAGGAUGUAAAAUAUAGAAAAUUAGUCAUUAUAUGUUAUUGAUGCUCUGACAUAGGGAUGUAUUAUUGAGAAUAAACUUUUGGUCGAUUUUCAGAAAAAUGGAAUAAUCAUAUUGCUGAUCUACGUAAACAAAGAAUUGUUUGAAAGAAAAUAUGGUAUGUCUAAACUGGAAAAGUCCUGUAAUAGUGUGUUCAUCAGCAUUUACACAAUGGAGUUACUGUUCAUCAGUGGGGAUACUGUGGACAAGCCCAGGGCUGCUGGUGAAUCCUGCCAUCCUUACACAUCUCUCCUUGUAAGUUGGCCUCCACUGUCUCCAGGUCGACUUUCGUCUUCAUCCACAGCUCCUCCACACAAGCCCUGAACACCUGUCCAUGGAUUGUGCUGCAUUCUGACAUAGUUUCUGCCAUCAAACACAGAAUGCCCUGAUCCUUACAGGCAGAGGCAGCUCUUCAGCCUAUGGGCUCAAGCUCUUGGACUCACUGAGACAGUAAAAGUACCAUAUCCUGUUUGAAUCAAACCCCGAGUUCCUGUAUGUAGAAGCCUUGCCAGAGGGGAUUCCCUUCCGAAGCCCUCCUGGUUUGGAAUUCCGUGACUGGAAAGGAUCGUCCAUGGGGGUAAUAAAAUGAAGUUUGUUGUUAAAAAACCUGAACUAGUUAUUUCCUACUCGCCUCCUGGAAUGGCUAAUAAACACUAAAGUUUUGCAGUUUCUGGGAAGACCAUGAAGCCCUGAGAGUAAUGAAAAGUUUCCUGACAUUGAGGUCACUGUGGAAGGUAGGCUGAGGCUGACAUUGGUUCAGUAGCUCAAAGAUGGUAAGACUGGCUUCCCUGUGCUUCUCUCCACUCUCCUUUCUGGUGCACGAUGACCGAGAGAGCUCCUGUCAUCAUGUCUCCAUCCAAACAGGACACAUGGUCUCCCUCUGUUGCCCAGGCUAAAGUGCAGUGGCAAAAUCAUG